rnacentral:rRNA from 1 species
GAUGAACGCUAGCGACAGGCUUAACACAUGCAAGUCGAGGGGCAGCGGGGUGUAGCAAUACACUGCCGGCGACCGGCGCACGGGUGCGUAACGCGUAUGCAACCAACCUACCAGAGGGGGAUAGCCCGGCGAAAGUCGGAUUAAUACUCCAUGAAACAGGGGUCCUGCAUGGGACUAUUUGUUAAAGAAGCGAUUUGCUGGUAGACGGGCAUGCGUCCCAUUAGGCAGUUGGCGGGGUAACGGCCCACCAAACCUACGAUGGGUAGGGGUUCUGAGAGGAAGGUCCCCCACACUGGUACUGAGACACGGACCAGACUCCUACGGGAGGCAGCAGUGAGGAAUAUUGGUCAAUGGCCGGAAGGCUGAACCAGCCAAGUCGCGUGCAGGAAGAAGGCCUUAUGGGUUGUAAACUGCUUUUAUGCGGGGAUAAGAGUCGUCACGAGUGGCGAUGUGCAGGUACCGCAUGAAUAAGCAUCGGCUAACUCCGUGCCAGCAGCCGCGGUAAUACGGAGGAUGCGAGCGUUAUCCGGAUUUAUUGGGUUUAAAGGGUGCGUAGGCGGGACGAUAGGUCAGCGGUGAAAGUUUGUCGCUUAACGAUAAAAUUGCCGUUGAUACCGUUGUUCUUGAGUGUGCAUGGGGCAGGCGGAAUGCGAGGUGUAGCGGUGAAAUGCUUAGAUAUCUCGCAGAACUCCGAUCGCGAAGGCAGCUUGCCAAGUCACGACUGACGCUGAAGCACGAAAGCGUGGGGAUCAAACAGGAUUAGAUACCCUGGUAGUCCACGCUGUAAACGAUGAUUACUAACUGUGGGCGAUAGACAGUCCGCGGUAGAGCGAAAGCGUUAAGUAAUCCACCUGGGGAGUACGCCGGCAACGGUGAAACUCAAAGGGAAUUGACGGGGGCCCGCACAAGCGGAGGAACAUGUGGUUUAAUUCGAUGAUACGCGAGGAACCUUACCCGGGUUUGAACGCAGAGGGAAUGUGGUUGAAAGGUCACAGCUAGCAAUAGUCGUCUGCGAGGUGCUGCAUGGUUGUCGUCAGCUCGUGCCGUGAGGUGUCGGCUUAAGUGCCAUAACGAGCGCAACCCUCACCGACAGUUGCCAUCAAGUAAAGUUGGGGACUCUGUCGGGACUGCCGUCGUAAGAUGCGAGGAAGGCGGGGAUGACGUCAAAUCAGCACGGCCCUUACAUCCGGGGCGACACACGUACUACAAUGGUUGGUACAAAAGGAAACGAUAUCGUAAGAUGGAGUAAAUCCUCAAAACCAAUCUCAGUCCGGAUUGUGGGCUGCAAUUCGCCCACAUGAAGUAGGAAUCGCUAGUAAUCGCAGAUCAGCAGGCUGCGGUGAAUACGUUCCCGGGCCUUGUACACACCGCCCGUCACACCACGAAAGUCAGUUGUAACAGAAGUCAUUGAUCUAACCUUGAAAAAGGAAGUAAAUGCCUAAGUUAUGGUUAACGAUUGGGGUGAAGUCGU